rnacentral:rRNA from 9 species
CGGCGGCCAUGGCCCAGGUGAGACGCCCGGUCCCAUUCCGAACCCGGAAGCUAAGGCCUGGCACGGCGAUGGUACUGCACCCGACAGGGUGUGGGAGAGUAGCACGCCGCCGCACC